rnacentral:rRNA from 1 species
UACGUAGGGUGCAAGCGUUAAUCGGAAUUACUGGGCGUAAAGCGUGCGCAGGCGGUUAUAUAAGACAGAAGUGAAAUCCCCGGGCUCAACCUGGGAACUGCAUUUGUGACUGUAUAGCUAGAGUACGGUAGAGGGGGAUGGAAUUCCGCGUGUAGCAGUGAAAUGCGUAGAUAUGCGGAGGAACACCGAUGGCGAAGGCAAUCCCCUGGACCUGUACUGACGCUCAUGCACGAAAGCGUGGGGAGCAAACAGG